GCCGAGGUGGCGGAAUUGGUAGACGCGCUAGCUUCAGGUGUUAGUGGGGGAAACCCCGUGAAGGUUCAAGUCCUUUUCUCGGCACCA
rnacentral:tRNA from 1 species